rnacentral:snRNA from 1 species
AUACUUAACUGGUGCCGGGCCUUCGUUGAUCACCGAGGACGAGCCCCCAGGGUGAGGCGCGGGCACUGCACUGUGCUCGCGUUUACCCCUGCCACUUCUCCAAACUGGGGAGUAUGGGGCAUGCAAAUCGC